rnacentral:rRNA from 1 species
CGGGGGAGCAAGCGUUGUUCGGAUUUACUGGGCGUAAAGGGCGCGAAGGCGGCCUCUGCAAGUCGACUGUGAAAUCUCCGGGCUUAACCCGGAACGGUCAGCCGAUACUGCAGGGCUAGAGUGCAGAAGGGGCAACUGGAAUUCUCGGUGUAGCGGUGAAAUGCGUAGAUAUCGAGAGGAACACCUGCGGCGAAGGCGGGUUGCUGGGCUGACACUGACGCUGAGGCGCGAAAGCUAGGGGAGCGAACGGGAUUAGAUACCCCGGUAGUCCUAGCCUUAAACGAUGAAUGCUUGGUGUCUGGGGUUUUAUAGUCCCCGGGUGCCGUCGCUAACGCUUUAAGCAUUCCGCCUGGGGAGUACGGUCGCAAGACUG